AAUGAACGCUGGCGGCAGGCCUAACACAUGCAAGUCGAACGAGGUAGCAAUACCUAGUGGCGGACGGGUGAGUAACACGUGGAACGUACCCUUUGCUACGGAAUAGCCCUGGGAAACUGGGAGUAAUACCGUAUGAGCCCGAGAGGGAAGAUUUAUCGGCAAAGGAUCGGCCCACGUUGGAUUAGGUAGUUGGUGGGGUAAUGGCCUACCAAGCCGACGAUCCAUAGCUGGUUUGAGAGGAUGAUCAGCCACACUGGGACUGAGACACGGCCCAGACUCCUACGGGAGGCAGCAGUGGGGAAUCUUAGACAAUGGGGGAAACCCUGAUCUAGCCAUGCCGCGUGAUCGAUGAAGGCCUUAGGGUUGUAAAGAUCUUUCAGGUGGGAAGAUAAUGACUGUACACCAGAAGAAGCCCCGGCUAACUCCGUGCCAGCAGCCGCGGUAAU
rnacentral:rRNA from 1 species